AUUGAACGCUGGCGGCAGGCCUAACACAUGCAAGUCGGGCGAGAGGCGGACGGGAGAGUAAGGUAUGGGGAUCGGAGUGAUGGAGGGGGAUAACUAAUGGGAACGGUAGCUAAUACCGCAUACCAGCAGAUGAACCCAUAUUGGAUUAGCUUGUAGGUGAGGUAACGGCUGACCUAGGCGACGAUCCCUAGCUGGUCUGAGAGGAGGAUCAGCCACACUGGAACUGAGACACGGCCCAGACUCCUACGGGAGGCAGCAGUGGGGAAUAUUGCACAAUGGGCGCAAGCCUGAUCCAGCCAUGCCGCGUGUAUGAAGAAGGCCUUCGGGUUGUAAAGUACUUUCAGUCGGGAGGCGUUACCGACAGAAGAAGCACCGGCUAACUCCGUGCCAGCAGCCGCGGUAAUUC
rnacentral:rRNA from 1 species